rnacentral:rRNA from 1 species
UACGAAGGUGGCAAGCGUUGUUCGGAUUUACUGGGCGUAAAGGAUGCGUAGGCGGACAUUUAAGUCAGAUGUGAAAUACCCGAGCUUAACUUGGGUGCUGCAUUUGAAACUGGGUGUCUAGAGUGCAGGAGAGGUAAGUGGAAUUCCUAGUGUAGCGGUGAAAUGCGUAGAGAUUAGGAAGAACACCAGUGGCGAAGGCGACUUACUGGACUGUAACUGACGCUGAGGCAUGAAAGCGUGGGGAGCAAACAGG